GACGAACGCUGGCGGCGUGCUUAACACAUGCAAGUCGAACGGAAAGGCCCUGCUUUUGUGGGGUGCUCGAGUGGCGAACGGGUGAGUAACACGUGAGUAACCUGCCCUUGACUUUGGGAUAACUUCAGGAAACUGGGGCUAAUACCGGAUAGGAGCUCCGGCACCAUGUUGGGGGUUGGAAAGAUUUGGCGGUUGGGGAUGGACUCGCGGCUUAUCAGCUGGUUUGUGGGGUAGGGGCGUACAAAGGCUGUGACGGGUAGCCGGCCUGGGAGCGUGACCGGCCACAUUGGGACUGCGAUACGGACCAGACUCCUACGGGAGGCAGCAGUGGAGAGUAUUGCACAAUGGGCGGAAGCCUGAUGCGACGGCGCCGGGUGCGUGAUGACGGCCUUCGGGUUGUAAACCGCUUUCUCCGGUGACGAAGAGUGAGUGACGGUAAUGGGUAAAGAAGCAACGGCUAACUACGUG
rnacentral:rRNA from 1 species